CCUACGGGAGGCAGCAGUGAGGAAUAUUGGUCAAUGGCCGUAAGGCUGAACCAGCCAAGUAGCGUGAGGGAAGACUGCCCUAUGGGUUGUAAACCUCUUUUAUGCGGGGAGAAAGGUGACCACGUGUGGUUGUUUGCAGGUACCGCAUGAAUAAGAACCGGCUAAUUCCGUGCCAGCAGCCGCGGUAAUACGGAAGGUACGGGCGUUAUCCGGAUUUAUUGGGGUUAAAGGGAGCAUAGGCCGGUCUUUAAGCGUACCGUGAAAUUUUGUGGCUCAACCAUGAGAGUGCGGCGAGAACUGGAAACCUUGAGUGCGCGGAAGGCAGGCGGAAUUCGUGGUGUAGCGGUGGAAUGCUUAGAUAUCACGAAGAACCCCGAUUGCGAAGGCAGCAAGCCGCAGCGUUACUGACGCUGAAGCUCGAAAGCGCGGGUAUCGAACAGGAUUAGAUACCCGUGUAGUC
rnacentral:rRNA from 1 species